CCAAUAGCGUAUAUUAAAGUUGUUGCAGUUAAAAAGCUCGUAGUUGAAUUUCGGGACCAGUAUGUUGGUCGUGCUUCGGUACGUACUGUCAUUACUGGUUUCUCCCUUCUGAAGAACCUUGAUGUCAUUAAUUUGGUGUCUUGGGGAAUCAGGACUGUUACUUUGAAAAAAUUAGAGUGUUUAAAGCAGGCAUACGCUUGAAUACAUUAGCAUGGAAUAAUGAAAUAGGACGUUUGAUUCUAUUUUGUUGGUUUCUAGGAUCGACGUAAUGAUUAAUAGGGAUAGUUGGGGGCAUUAGUAUUCAAUUGUCAGAGGUGAAAUUCUUGGAUUUAUUGAAGACUAACUACUGCGAAAGCAUUUGCCAAGGAUGUUUUCAUUAAUCAAGAACGAAAGUUAGGGGAUCGAAGACGAUCAGAUACCGUCGUAGUCUUAACCAUAAACUAUGCCGACUAGGGAUCGGAUGAUGUUAUUUUUAAUGACUCAUUCGGCGCCUUACG
rnacentral:rRNA from 1 species